GUCCGGCAUAAAUCUUGUAAAGUUUGACUAUUAGAACAAACUUAACAAAAAGAGAACUACAAAUCUUCAAAUGCAUCCCUAUCAUCAAUCAGUCCUGUGUGUGAAGUGAAGCUUGUGAAUGCCAGAGUCUACACGACAGGCUCUCAAACACACAUGAGCGGAGUCUGUUGAGGGGGGGCAGACAGUCUGAGGUCCACAUAUGGUGAACCAGAUAAACAAACACUGCCUGCACUGCCAUCUUCCACUCAAAAGUGACAUCAUCAUCAUCAUUAUUUAUCUGCCUCAAACAUCUGCUUUGGUUAUUCAGGUUCUUCUUAUAGGCUUGCUGAUGUCAUGAUUAAACAUCAAUCCUUUACAAGCCAUUUUCAAGAAUAUCAGCGCGUACGCAUGCAUCCGCAGUAUGUCUAGAUGAGAUUGUAUCCAUCUUUCCAGAGCCACACGUUCCUGUGGAAAACAUGCCCUAUCUGUCACUACAGCUUCCUGUGUUAACAAAUUACACCCAUAAACGGAUGGGUCACAACAGGCCCAUCUCUCUCAAUCUUUCUGCCUCUCUUUUUCUCUCUCAGGAGUGUUUGAUACAUUUGAUCAAAGAACAAAUAAUUGCUUUUUUAGCUUGGCCCAUUCUUGAUAAACAUUAUUGCCUUGUUAAACCUAUUGCUAUUAUAUUGCUGCACUUCAUAAAACAGUUAAACUGUUAAAAAUGUUUCUCUACUUCUACCUAACAAGCAAAAGUAAAGUCGAACUUAGCAUGCAAGUCUCGCUAUGAAUAAAAAAGCUGAUUGCAAAGUUUUUUUCAUGUCUUGUACUCUUUUUCUAAACCAAUAAAACAAAAAAGGA